rnacentral:rRNA from 1 species
GAUGAACGCUGGCGGCGUGCCUAAUACAUGCAAGUCGAGCGAACGGACGAGAAGCUUGCUUCUCUGAUGUUAGCGGCGGACGGGUGAGUAACACGUGGAUAACCUACCUAUAAGACUGGGAUAACUUCGGGAAACCGGAGCUAAUACCGGAUAAUAUUUUGAACCGCAUGGUUCAAAAGUGAAAGACGGUCUUGCUGUCACUUAUAGAUGGAUCCGCGCUGCAUUAGCUAGUUGGUAAGGUAACGGCUUACCAAGGCAACGAUGCAUAGCCGACCUGAGAGGGUGAUCGGCCACACUGGAGCUGAGACACGGUCCAGACUCCUACGGGAGGCAGCAGUAGGGAAUCUUCCGCAAUGGGCGAAAGCCUGACGGAGCAACGCCGCGUGAGUGAUGAAGGUCUUCGGAUCGUAAAACUCUGUUAUUAGGGAAGAACAUAUGUGUAAGUAACUGUGCACAUCUUGACGGUACCUAAUCAGAAAGCCACGGCUAACUACGUGCCAGCAGCCGCGGUAAUACGUAGGUGGCAAGCGUUAUCCGGAAUUAUUGGGCGUAAAGCGCGCGUAGGCGGUUUUUUAAGUCUGAUGUGAAAGCCCACGGCUCAACCGUGGAGGGUCAUUGGAAACUGGAAAACUUGAGUGCAGAAGAGGAAAGUGGAAUUCCAUGUGUAGCGGUGAAAUGCGCAGAGAUAUGGAGGAACACCAGUGGCGAAGGCGACUUUCUGGUCUGUAACUGACGCUGAUGUGCGAAAGCGUGGGGAUCAAACAGGAUUAGAUACCCUGGUAGUCCACGCCGUAAACGAUGAGUGCUAAGUGUUAGGGGGUUUCCGCCCCUUAGUGCUGCAGCUAACGCAUUAAGCACUCCGCCUGGGGAGUACGACCGCAAGGUUGAAACUCAAAGGAAUUGACGGGGACCCGCACAAGCGGUGGAGCAUGUGGUUUAAUUCGAAGCAACGCGAAGAACCUUACCAAAUCUUGACAUCCUUUGACAACUCUAGAGAUAGAGCCUUCCCCUUCGGGGGACAAAGUGACAGGUGGUGCAUGGUUGUCGUCAGCUCGUGUCGUGAGAUGUUGGGUUAAGUCCCGCAGCGAGCGCAACCCUUAAGCUUAGUUGCCAUCAUUAAGUUGGGCACUCUAAGUUGACUGCCGGUGACAAACCGGAGGAAGGUGGGGAUGACGUCAAAUCAUCAUGCCCCUUAUGAUUUGGGCUACACACGUGCUACAAUGGACAAUACAAAGGGCAGCGAAACCGCGAGGUCAAGCAAAUCCCAUAAAGUUGUUCUCAGUUCGGAUUGUAGUCUGCAACUCGACUACAUGAAGCUGGAAUCGCUAGUAAUCGUAGAUCAGCAUGCUACGGUGAAUACGUUCCCGGGUCU